UGCCGGAUGCUCCAGUUGACCGCAUGGUCCUCUGGGAAAGAUUCAUCGGUAUGGGAUGGGGUCGCGUCCUAUCAGCUUGAUGGCGGGGUAACGGCCCACCAUGGCUUCGACGGGUAGCCGGCCUGAGAGGGCGACCGGCCACAUUGGGACUGAGAUACGGCCCAGACUCCUACGGGAGGCAGCAGUGGGGAAUAUUGCACAAUGGGCGCAAGCCUGAUGCAGCGACGCCGCGUGCGGGAUGACGGCCUUCGGGUUGUAAACCGCUUUUGACUGGGAGCAAGCCCUUCGGGGUGAGUGUACCUUUCGAAUAAGCACCGGCUAACUACGUGCCAGCAGCCGCGGUAAUACGUAGGGUGCAAGCGUUAUCCGGAAUUAUUGGGCGUAAAGGGCUCGUAGGCGGUUCGUCGCGUCCGGUGUGAAAGUCCAUCGCUUAACGGUGGAUCCGCGCCGGGUACGGGCGGGCUUGAGUGCGGUAGGGGAGACUGGAAUUCCCGGUGUAACGGUGGAAUGUGUAGAUAUCGG
rnacentral:rRNA from 1 species